AUUAUAUCUCAACAAGCAUUUGAGUAUUCGAAUACAUGAGAACACAACACAAGAGGCAUACAUAGAUCAUUUUUAGUACAUUUCCAGGAAAACCAAGUAUUAAGGAUUGAUGGAUGACAGAAAAGAUCUAUGAUCCUGCCUUCCUAUUUUAGUGGAAUAGAUGACAACCUCCAUGGACUAUAUAAACUUCUUUCUGAAGGUGACUCUAUAUAAACCUCAUCAGUUCAAUUCACCUAGUUAAGCACACCAAAUAAAUAUGUGUUUGUUAGAAACAUAUAUCAAACAUCAUAUAUUGAGAAGAGAGGAAAUCGUUAUGUCCAGCUUCGUACGCCAUUUGCCACAACUGACAAAUUUACUCCUAAGAAAGAGAUGAACACAAACUCUUUUUACUGAAAAGAGCUCAAUAGCUAUUGUUCGGACACUCCAGUAGGCCAUGACAUAUGUAAAAUACCUUGCAAAAUUAGAUUCAAUCAAACCGCACAUGCACAAAUUUUGAUCUGGAUACCUUGAGAAAAUAUGAACAUAGGCUCCAGAUUCACACGGGCUGAAAGCUUGCACAAUGUAUAAACUUACGGUCAACAUAUUGCAUUUCCAAGGAUUAUUUAAAAACAUAAAUGGCAAGUACAGAAAAAUGUCAUCGAGCAAUUUAAAAGAAGUUUUAUGACAGUCCUAGAGAUGCAGAAUAUUAUUAGAAUUCAAUAGCUAUAAACAAAGAAUUAUAUGGCAUGCAUUAUAUUACCUUGUAAUUACAAGAAAACUACAGCAGCAUGGGAAAAUAAAUAAAAUGAACAUGAUGCCAGAUAGGCUCAUGUGUUGGAAAAGGGUUGAUACUAAAUCACACACAUACAUCCUUGCUUUAGUGAUACCAUAGGCGAGCCAAGAUAAAAGGCCUACACAUCUUCCGUAAAUGAUCUAUCUAAGCCUGGUCAUUUCAAUCCACCUAGUUGUGAUCAGUCAAAGCAAACAAAAAAGUGGUAGUCUUUGAAGCAAGAAAAACACAAAC
rnacentral:lncRNA from 1 species